rnacentral:rRNA from 1 species
UACGUAGGCAGCGAGCGUUGUUCGGAGUUACUGGGCGUAAAGAGUGCGUAGGCGGUUUUCUAAGUUUGGUGUGAAAUCUCCCGGCUCAACUGGGGAAGUGCACCCGAAACUGAAUGGCUUGAAUGCAAAAGAGGGUCGCGGAAUUCCCGGUGUAGAGGUGAAAUUCGUAGAUAUCGGGAGGAACACCGGUGGCGAAGGCGGCGACCUGGGUUGACAUUGACGCUGAGGCGCGAAAGCGUGGGGAGCAAACAGG